UACGGAGGGGGCGAGCGUUGUCCGAAUUUAUUGGGCGUAAAGCGCGUGUAGGCGGAUAUCCAAGCCUGAGGUGAAAGGUCGGGGCUCAACCCCGUACAGUGCCUUGGGGACUGGGUGUCUGGAGGCAGGCAGAGGAGUGUGGAAUUCCUGGUGUAGCAGUGAAAUGCGUAGAUAUGCGGAGGAACACCGAUGGCGAAGGCAAUCCCCUGGCCUGCACUGACGCUCAUGCACGAAGCGUGGGAGCAAACAGG
rnacentral:rRNA from 1 species